rnacentral:tmRNA from 1 species
GGGCCUGAAAAGGUUUCGACGGGGUAUCUUAAGUCGAAGAAGCUAUCCGCAGGAGUGCGUUAAACCCAAAAUUAAACUAAACGCUGAAGAUAAUUUAGCAUACGCUGCCUAAGCGCAGCGCGUCGUCCUUAGUGCACCUGCACAUUAAGUAAACGGCGUCGACUUGCAGGAAACGGAUGCGCAAAGCUUUGAGCGUAUUGCAGAUUCAUGAAGCUACUGAAACCGUAACGUUGUCUGUGGCAUUGCGGCAGAGGGAAUGACUGACCAGAGACUAUGAUAGUAGAAGGGCGAGGGCGGAUAUUUCGGACACGGGUUCAACUCCCGUCAGGUCCACUU